UACGGGGGGAGCAAGCGUUGUUCGGAUUUACUGGGCGUAAAGGGCGCGUAGGCGGCGCGGUAAGUCACUUGUGAAAUCUCUGAGCUUAACUCAGAACGGCCAAGUGAUACUGCAGUGCUAGAGUGUGGAAGGGGCAAUCGGAAUUCUUGGUGUAGCGGUGAAAUGCGUAGAUAUCAAGAGGAACACCUGAGGUGAAGACGGGUUGCUGGGCCAACACUGACGCUGAGGCGCGAAAGCCAGGGGAGCGAACGGG
rnacentral:rRNA from 1 species